ACUUCCUUGGCAGAACAUAAUGGAACUACAGAGCAAUCACUUAGAAAGGGAAACAACUGUCAGUUAUCACUCUAAUGAACCCUGUUUAACAGAGGUGAUGGCAGCCCGGCUGAGGCACAACCUUCUGUGCAUCGAACGUGGAUCCCUUAAUAACUCCAUUCUGUACUGUGUGUAAUUUGCAAAAUAACUGCUCUCAAGGCCAAAUUGUAAAGUGGCUUCAGCUAUGGGUAACAGUGUAAUUUUGGAACUAGUCUCAGAACUAGUUAUUAACUGUUCACUGUUAAUAUUUGAAUAUGAGUAAACAGAAACAAUUCUUAACAUUAAAAAUUUAAAUAGUAUGGUAGUGGUGGUGGCAAUUAUUGAGAUGAUCAUAGCAGUGAUGUUAACAAAUGACGUUAAUUGAAUCAUACGUGACAGGCCCUAUGCUGAACAUUUCAUAUGCAUCAUCUCACUUAAUUCUCAGAACAAUCGAGUGUUAAAAAUCACUUUUCAGAAGGGCAACUUCAUGGCUGUUGUGCAAAUAGAAACACAGUUUAAGAUCUUAUUCAGCUCAUUAAUUUAAGAGGGUGAGGGACCUAGUAAGAUGUUAAAAUUAGUCCAAAAAUAAUUUGAGAUUUUGUGUGUGUGUGUGUGUGUGUGUGUGAUUUGAUAGAUUGUUGGGCCAGAUACAGAACAGGAUAAUGUCCUGCUGGUCCAUAAGAGCUCACACAAGUUACUGUCUCCCAUCAGUUGUAAAAUAGCCCUGUAAACAGAAAGUCACACCCAGCAGUGGGAACACUAUACUAAAGGAAUCCAGUAAUCUCGUUCGCCUAUUUCCAAGUUUGGAAUGUUUUUUUCUGAUACCUGUAAGGCAGAUGGUGCUAUAAUUCGCACAUUACAAAUGGAGAAACUGAGGCUUUGUGAUGUUAAGUAACUUGGCCAAGGUUAUAUGAGAGGUGGAGUGGUGACUGACUUGAGUCUGACUCCUUGCGCAGCUGGCGCUGCGGUGAUGAAGAGCAUGGGCUCAGUAAAUGAACAGGUUUGAGUUCAACUCCCAGUGAACUUGGGCCGGGUAACUACUGUGCCUUUACUUUUUCAUCCGUGAGGCUGUGUUGCUAAUAGUUUUAAGUCACAUGGUGUUGUGAGGAUAUGGUAGGGUGACAUGUUAAAGCCUUGUGCCUGUUGUACGUGACCUUGCACUCCCUCUGUAAACGUCAGCAGCUGUUGUCGUCAUCCGUACUGAUCACCACGGUCGAGCACCACCUGCAUGUGUCUUGCAGAUAGCAGUGCCCUCACCUUCUCUACCCCGACUGGCCGCGGUUGCCUUAAAAGUCUGCGCACAUCCAGAGUAUGAGCUCCAGGAAUCUCCGUCACAGAAAACCAAUUCUCCAUCACAGUUUUCGUCCAGGAUCGUGACCAGAUUCAACUGACCCCAGGAAUAGAAAGUUCCCAAGGUAAAGUGCUGCCAUUGUUUUGACCGUUUGUGCAGAUUUUAUUUCACAUGGUCUGAUUCAUCUUUGUGCGGCAUCAAGUAUCUAAUGGAGCAUCUUAAACAGUCCAAGAAUCAUUCUAUUUUCCAGCAAGCUGUCUUGUACACCCUGAAGGGAAUAUUAUAAGAUUAAGUGCCGAGCAGCAGUCUUCGAGCAAGGUGAAUGCUUCUCAUUACACAGAUCCCCAGUUGAUCUCCUAAAUGUAAUUUCCUGAUAAUGUGAAGAUUCUGAAUUAUUUAUUACCUCAUAUUAGAUCAGGAAUAUUAUUCCUGAAAAUAAAUUUGUUAUCAUCAGCAAA